rnacentral:misc_RNA from 1 species
GAUGAAGAACGUAGCGAAAUGCGAUAAGUAGUGUGAAUUGCAGAAUUCAGUGAAUCAUCGAAUCUUUGAACGCACAUUGCGCCCCUUGGUAUUCCAUGGGGCAUGCCUCUUCGAGCGUCAUUUGUACCUUCAAGCUUUGCUUGGUGUUGGGUGUUUGUCUCGCCUUUGCGUGUAGACUCGCCUUAAAAUAAUUGGCAGCCGGCGUAUUGAUUUCGGAGCGCAGUACAUCUCGCGCUUUGCACUCAUAACGACAGCGUCCAAAAGUACAUUUUACACUCUUGACCUCGGAUCAGGUAGGGAUACCCGCUGAACUUAAGCAUAUCAAUAAGCGGAGGA